AUGAGGAACCCGGUGAGACUCCGGGGCGGUUCCGCCACUGUGAAAUCCCGUAGGGGAUUCAGCCAGACACUC
rnacentral:ncRNA from 2 species